AGGGGCUGCUCCUAGUACGAGAGGACCGGAGUGGACGCACCACUGGUGUUCGGGUUGUCAUGCCAAUGGCAUUGCCCGGUAGCUAAGUGCGGAAGAGAUAACCGCUGAAAGCAUCUAAGCGGGAAACUUGCCUUGAGAUGAGUCUUCCCUGACCCUUUAAGGGUCCUAAAGGAACGUUUAAGACUAAGACGUUGAUAGGUUGGGUGUGUAAGCAUAGCGAUAUGUUGAGCUAACCAAUACUAAUGAACCGUGAGGCUUAACCUGACAACACCGAAGGUGUUUUAG
rnacentral:rRNA from 1 species